ACGGGAGGCAGCAGUGAGGAAUAUUGGUCAAUGGACGGAAGUCUGAACCAGCCAUGCCGCGUGCAGGAAUAAGGCCCUAUGGGUCGUAAACUGCUUUUGUGGUGGAGCAAUAAGGCGUACGUGUACGUCGAUGAGAGUACAUCACGAAUAAGCAUCGGCUAACUCCGUGCCAGCAGCCGCGGUAAUACGGAGGAUGCAAGCGUUAUCCGGAUUUAUUGGGUUUAAAGGGAGCGUAGGCCGUGCUUUAAGCGUGUUGUGAAAUGUAGGCGCCCAACGUCUGCACUGCAGCGCGAACUGGAGCACUUGAGUACGCAGGAAGUAGGCGGAAUUCGUCGUGUAGCGGUGAAAUGCUUAGAUAUGACGAAGAACUCCGAUUGGGAAGCCAGCUUACUGUAGCGCCACUGACGCUGAUGCUCGAAAGCGUGGGUAUCGAACAGGAUUAGAUACCCUGGUA
rnacentral:rRNA from 1 species